rnacentral:rRNA from 1 species
UAGGGAAUCUUCCGCAAUGGGCGAAAGCCUGACGGAGCAACGCCGCGUGAGUGAUGAAGGUCUUCGGAUCGUAAAACUCUGUUAUUAGGGAAGAACAAAUGUGUAAGUAACUAUGCACGUCUUGACGGUACCUAAUCAGAAAGCCACGGCUAACUACGUGCCAGCAGCCGCGGUAAUACGUAGGUGGCAAGCGUUAUCCGGAAUUAUUGGGCGUAAAGCGCGCGUAGGCGGUUUUUUAAGUCUGAUGUGAAAGCCCACGGCUCAACCGUGGAGGGUCAUUGGAAACUGGAAAACUUGAGUGCAGAAGAGGAAAGUGGAAUUCCAUGUGGAGCGGUGAAAUGCGCAGAGAUAUGGAGGAACACCAGUGGCGAAGGCGACUUUCUGGUCUGUAACUGACGAUGAUGUGCGAAAGCGUGGGGAUCAAAAAGG